UUGAACGCUGGCGGAAUGCUUUACACAUGCAAGUCGAACGGCAGCACGGGGGCAACCCUGGUGGCGAGUGGCGAACGGGUGAGUAAUGUAUCGGAACGUACCCAGUCGUGGGGGAUAACUAUCCGAAAGGAUAGCUAAUACCGCAUACGACCUGAGGGUGAAAGCGGGGGAUCGCAAGACCUCGCGCGAUAGGAGCGGCCGAUAUCGGAUUAGCUAGUUGGUGAGGUAAAGGCUCACCAAGGCGACGAUCCGUAGCUGGUCUGAGAGGACGACCAGCCACACUGGAACUGAGACACGGUCCAGACUCCUACGGGAGGCAGCAGUGGGGAAUUUUGGACAAUGGGGGAAACCCUGAUCCAGCCAUUCCGCGUGAGUGAAGAAGGCCUUCGGGUUGUAAAGCUCUUUCGGCAGGAACGAAACGGUAAGGGCUAAUAUCCUUUGCUAAUGACGGUACCUGAAGAAGAAGCACCGGCUAACUACGU
rnacentral:rRNA from 1 species